CCUACGGGUGGCAGCAGUGAGGAAUAUUGGUCAAUGGACGAGAGUCUGAACCAGCCAAGUAGCGUGAAGGAUGACUGCCCUAUGGGUUGUAAACUUCUUUUAUAUGGGAAUAAAAUGUUCCACGUGUGGGAGUUUGUAUGUACCAUAUGAAUAAGGAUCGGCUAACUCCGUGCCAGCAGCCGCGGUAAUACGGAGGAUCCGAGCGUUAUCCGGAUUGAUUGGGUUUAAAGGGAGUGUAGGCGGGUGAUUAAGUCAGUCGUGAAAGUUUGGGGCUCAACCGUAAAAUUGCAGUUGAAACUGGAAGUCUUGAGUACAGUAGAGGUGGGCGGAAUUCGUGGUGUAGCGGUGAAAUGCUUAGAUAUCACGAAGAACUCCGAUGGCGAAGGCAGCUUACUGGACUGCAACUGACACUGAGGCUCGAAAGUGUGGGUAUCAAACAGGAUUAGAUACCCUUGUAGUC
rnacentral:rRNA from 1 species